rnacentral:rRNA from 1 species
UACGUAGGUGGCGAGCGUUGUCCGGAUUUACUGGGCGUAAAGGGAGCGUAGGCGGAUUUUUAAGUGAGAUGUGAAAUACUCGGGCUCAACUUGAGUGCUGCAUUUCAAACUGGAAGUCUAGAGUGCAGGAGAGGAGAAUGGAAUUCCUAGUGUAGCGGUGAGAUGCGUAGAGAUUAGGAAGAACACCAGUGGCGAAGGCGAUUCUCUGGACUGUAACUGACGCUGAGGCUCGAAAGCGUGGGGAGCAAACAGG